AGGAUGAACGCUGGCGGCGUGCCUAACACAUGCAAGUCGAACGUCCUGUCUCGCAAGAGGCAGGGAGUGGCGGACGGGUGAGUACCACGUGGGUCAUCUACCGUGAGGUGAGGAAUACCGGCGAGAAAUCGCCGACAAGACCGCAUAGGCUCGAUGCAAGUCGAGCAAAGCUCUUUCGAGAGAGGGAGCGCCACACGAGGAGCCUGCGCCCGAUUAGCUAGCUGGUGGAGUAACGGUUCACCAGGGCGACGAUCGGUAGCUGGUCUGAGAGGACGAUCAGCCACACUGGGAUUGAGAACGGCCCAGACUCCUACGGGGGGCAGCAGUGAGGAAUUUUCCGCAAUGGAGGCAACUCUGACGGAGCAACGCCGCGUGCAGGAUGAAGGUUUUCGGAUCGUAAACUGCUUUUCUCGGGGACGAGCAAGGACGGUACCCGAGGAAGAACGCCCCGGCUAACUACGUGCCAGCAGCCGC
rnacentral:rRNA from 1 species